rnacentral:rRNA from 1 species
UAGUAUGAACGGCAUCACGAAGGCUGUACUGUCUCCCCUUUUUAAUCAGUGAAACUAAUCUUCCCGUGAAGAAGCGGGAAUGCUAUAAUAAGACGAGAAGACCCUAUGGAGCUUUAAACUAUUUAACACUUGCUGCCACCCAACUACUUUCAGAAGCCUCACAAAAAACACAGCAUUAUGAUUACAAGUUUUCGAUUGGGGUGAUCACGGAGUAAAAAUCAACCUCCACGCCAAAUGGGCCCAACCCCCUGAACUGUAAGCCACAACUUUAAGUACUAAAAAAUUAUUGUUUCUUGACCCAAUGACUUGAUCAACGAACCAAGUUACCCUAGGGAUAACAGCGCAAUCCACUUCAAGAGCCCCUAUCGACAAGUGG